rnacentral:rRNA from 2 species
ACGGCCGCAAGGCUAAAACUCAAAGGAAUUGACGGGGGCCCGCACAAGCGGCGGAGCAUGCGGAUUAAUUCGAUGCAACGCGAAGAACCUUACCAAGGCUUGACAUGUGCCAGACCGCUCCAGAGAUGGGGUUUCCCUUCGGGGCUGGUUCACAGGUGGUGCAUGGUUGUCGUCAGCUCGUGUCGUGAGAUGUUGGGUUAAGUCCCGCAACGAGCGCAACCCUCGUUCCAUGUUGCCAGCACGUAGUGGUGGGGACUCAUGGGAGACUGCCGGGGUCAACUCGGAGGAAGGUGGGGAUGACGUCAAAUCAUCAUGCCCCUUAUGUCUUGGGCUUCACGCAUGCUACAAUGGCCGGUACAAUGGGUUGCGAUACUGUGAGGUGGAGCUAAUCCCUAAAAGCCGGUCUCAGUUCGGAUUGGGGUCUGCAACUCGACCCCAUGAAGUCGGAGUCGCUAGUAAUCGCAGAUCAGCAACGCUGCGGUGAAUACGUUCCCGGGCCUUGUACACACCGCCCGUCAAGUCACGAAAGUUGGUAACACCCGAAGCCGAUGGCCUAACCAC